rnacentral:rRNA from 1 species
CGCCUCCUGCCAACCAUAGGAGGUCCAGCCUGCCCAGUGACAAAAUUUAACGGCCUCGGUACCCUAACCGCGCGAAGGUAGCAUAAUCACUUGUUCUUUAAAUAGGGACUCGUAUCAACGGCAUCACGAGGGCUAAACUGUCUCCCCUUUCUAAUCAAUGAACCUGACCUCUUCGUGAAGAGGCGAAGAUAUCCAUAUAAGACGAGAAGACCCCAUGGAGCUUAAAACUUAAUAACACCUUCUUACAUACAUACCAUAAUAUAUAAGAACCCUGUUUGACGUUUUUGGCUGGGGCAUCCGAGGAGAACAACACAACCUCCCCGACGAACCUACCUCAGAAUUACACCUCUAAGGUAUAGCAAACUAAUGUAACAUGAUCCGACAUUCGAUCAACGAACCAAGUUACCCUGGGGAUAACAGCGCAAUCCAUUUCAAGAGCCCCUAUCGACAAAUGGGUUUACGACCUCGAUGUUGGAUCAGGGUAUCCCAGUGGCGCAGCCGCUAC